UCUCUUUGCAACAAGGUUGCCCCGUGGAGU
rnacentral:piRNA from 1 species